rnacentral:rRNA from 1 species
UACGUAGGUGGCAAGCGUUUGUCCGGAUUUAUUGGGCGUAAAGGGCGCGCAGGCGGUCCGUUAAGUCCGAGGUGAAAUCUCCCGGCUCAACUGGGAGGGGUCUUCGGAUACUGGCGGACUUGAGGAGUGCAGAGGUGAGUGGAAUUCUCGGUGUAGUGGUGAAAUGCGUAGAUAUCGAGAGGAACACCAGUGGCGAAGGCGGCUCACUGGGCACCACCUGACGCUGAGGUGCGAAAGCGUGGGGAGCGAACCAGG